rnacentral:tRNA from 1 species
GGUUCCGUAGUGUAGUGGGCUGCACGGCUGAUUGUCGAUCAGUGAGUACGAGUUCGAUCCUCGUCGGAACCGCCA